rnacentral:misc_RNA from 1 species
UCCGAGUUGACCCCGGCAGUCUCCCUAGAGUUCUCAGCCGAACUGCUAGCAACUAGGGAUAGGGGUUGCGCUCGUUACGGGACUUAACCCAACAUCUCACGACACGAGCUGACGACGGCCAUGCAGCACCUGUCUUACAGUUCCCGAAGGCACCCUCCCAUCUCUGGAAGGUUCUGUAGAUGUCAAGGCCAGGUAAGGUUCUUCGCGUUGCGUCGAAUUAAACCACAUGCUCCACCGCUUGUGCGGGCCCCCGUCAAUUUCUUUGAGUUUUAAUCUUGCGACCGUACUUCCCAGGCGGCGCAUUUAUCGCGUUAGCUUCGCCACAAACGGGGUCGAUUCCGUUUACAGCAAAUGCGCACCGUUUACAGCCAAGACUAC